UAGGUCCUAAUUCACAUAAAAAUAGGAUCAGAGUUGAAAUCGGUGCGAAAAACAAGCAAACGGAGGCUGGGUGAGAGAAAGGGGU